GUUCACGUAGCUCCAAUGGUAGAGCACCGGAUUCCAAAUCCGGGUGCUGUAGGUUCGAGUCCUACCGUGUUCGCCA
rnacentral:tRNA from 1 species